rnacentral:pre_miRNA from 13 species
AGCAGCAAAGAUGUCCCGCUCAAUUACCAUGACAUAGUCGUACGGUGAAUGUUGUUUAUGGAGUCCAAUGUUAACUGUAAGACUGUGUCUCGGUGGUUGCCAGCCAAACAACAAUAGCUG